rnacentral:lncRNA from 1 species
CUGAAACUGAAGCAUCUCUAUGGUUACAACAGUCUUUCAACCAAUCUGGCUCCACCACCACUUCAACAACCUCCUUCCUUUUACUCCUCACAAAACCUACCGAUAUUAUCAUCACCGAUUCAUCUUCCCCAUCCCUCACAAAACGGUAAUUUUGUAAUUGUAUUGGAUUAUCUGUAAUUGAAUUCACUCCUCACAAAACCUACCGAUAUUAUCGUCACCGAUUCAUCUUCCCCAUCCCUCACAAAACGGUAAUUUUAGAAUUGUAUUGGAUCAUCUGUAAUUGAUUUUUCUUUUGGAGCUUAAAAUUGAAGUUUAACUUAAUAUGAAUUGAACAAAGAUAAAUUGGUGUUUG